GAUGAACGCUAGCGAUAGGCUUAACACAUGCAAGUCGAGGGGCAGCACAAGGUAGCUUGCUAUCUGGGUGGCGACCGGCGCACGGGUGCGUAACGCGUAUGCAACUUGCCCUAUACAGGAGGAUAACCCGUCGAAAGACGGACUAAUACUGCGUAUGCUCACAACUUGGCAUCAAGUGGUGAGGAAAGAAAUUCGGUAUAGGAUAGGCAUGCGUCCCAUUAGCUUGUUGGUGAGGUAACGGCUCACCAAGGCAACGAUGGGUAGGGGAACUGAGAGGUUUAUCCCCCACACUGGUACUGAGACACGGACCAGACUCCUACGGGAGGCAGCAGUGAGGAAUAUUGGUCAAUGGGCGCGAGCCUGAACCAGCCAAGUCGCGUGAAGGAUGACUGUCUUAUGGAUUGUAAACUUCUUUUAUACGGGAAUAACAAGAGCCACGUGUGACUCCCUGCAUGUACCGUAUGAAUAAGCAUCGGCUAACUCCGUG
rnacentral:rRNA from 1 species